rnacentral:misc_RNA from 1 species
GAUGAAGAACGCAGCGAAAUGCGAUAAGUAGUGUGAAUUGCAGAAUUCAGUGAAUCAUCGAAUCUUUGAACGCACAUUGCGCCCCUUGGUAUUCCAUGGGGCAUGCCUGUUCGAGCGUCAUUUGUACCUUCAAGCUCUGCUUGGUGUUGGGUGUUUGUCUCGCCUCUGCGUGUAGACUCGCCUCAAAACAAUUGGCAGCCGGCGUAUUGAUUUCGGAGCGCAGUAGAUCUCGCGCUUUGCACUCAUAACGACGACGUCCAAAAGUACAUUUUUACACUCUUGACCUCGGAUCAGGUAGGGAUACCCGCUGAACUUAAGCAUAUCAAUAAGCGGAGGA